ensembl:lincRNA
CCCAUGGUGAGCAGAGUUGUGCUGCUUUUCCUGCAGGAAGUGGUCUCACACAGGGAGAUCCUAGCACAGAUACCCUAGGAACAGGAACAGAUUUCCUUUGAUUGCCACUUCUUGCCUUUCCGGAUGAAUCAGAAAAUAAUUUGAUUGGACGAGUUAAGCACUUAGCCUGUGCCUGAUGCAUGCUGAGAUUUCAGUCUUCAUGAACUCAGAUGGCAUAAGCCACAAGCUCUCAUGGCUGGUCCCUUCCAGGGCUCAAGGCUGGGAAACUAUGAGGUCUGAGUAUGUCAUCCAGUUACAUGGGAGCACACAGACAAGUGGAAGAUACUCUGGCUGUCAGUAUACAGAGGGCUGGGUUUUGAACUCCUAGUCAAGCCCUCUAUCAUGGAUCUUCACCCCCAGCCGCCUGAAGAGAUUUUAGAUCACAAUGCUCGGGGUCAUAUCCAGAAAUACCAGUGCAGGUGUAGACUGGGGUGUCAUCAAGAGCUUCGGAGUGAGGAGCAGGGGAGCCCCAGACCCAGGAAGUUGCUGUUCUGGAGAGUGCUGGUGGAGGCCCUGGGCCACAGUGUCAGGAACAGCCGCAGAGCUGAUGAUCAGCUCAUGCCUGGCACAGAUUAAAGCACACCUUCUCAUCGUUCUUCUUCUUUUAAAAUAAAAAUACUGUAUUUACUUAGAAGCAUUCAGAAUGUCAGCAAAACUAUGUCUUUUUUUUUUGCAAUUACAGAAUGAUGUUCAGUUAUUAAUUAUUUCAUAUAAGGUGCAUCAGAUAAAACCAAAGAUGAAGCGACU